GCUGCCUUGCACUUAGGGAAGGUUCACAUGCCUCAAGGAUCUCUCUCUCUCAGAUUUCUUGACUUUCCCUCAGUCUUCAGUAUAGUCCUCCUCUGUGCCUGGUGAAGACCUGUGGUAAAGUGCUGGCAGAGAGGAAGCUAAAUCACGUAAAAAUUAAGAAACAGCUCAGCGUUUCACAGCUAAGCUGCCGGCUUCCCCUUGAAGGAAUAGGAGUAGACCUGCUGAACUAUCACAUGAGAGAAGAGGCCCAAAAGCUUGCACACUACAGUCAAGCUGGCCCUUAAAGAGAUGGACCUAGAAGAUGCUGAGCCAGAUGUACUCAAUUACUUCUCCAAAAUUCAUCAAUUAGAACUGCUUCUUGCUGCCGCCAUAUGAAGAAGGACGUGUUCGCUUCCCCUUCCUCCAUGAUUGUAAGUUUCCUGAGACCUCGCCAGCCAUGCUGAACUGAAUACAACAUGUUUAAGACCACAGAACAUCUGCAUAGGCUGUAAAUUUCGUUGAAUGAUGGAUGCAAAGAUGGAAGACAGAUGGAUAGAGGAAAAGACAGAAUCAGAUACUGGAUGAGUUAGUACUGCUGCCUGUGCUUCAGAGCUGUCUUAUUACCACAAGGCCGGCAAGCAUCAAUGUCCCCACAUCCCCCUCUGCCUCCCCCUGAAAUGUACCGAUUUAUAUGAAAAUUAAGAUUACAAAUUAAAGCCUGGCUAUCCUGGAGUUUUCCAGUUCAUCAGCCAUCCAAUAAAAAUGAUGUCAAGCCUG
rnacentral:lncRNA from 1 species